AUUGAACGCUGGCGGCAUGCCUUACACAUGCAAGUCGAACGGCAGCACGGGAGCAAUCCUGGUGGCGAGUGGCGAACGGGUGAGUAAUGUAUCGGAACGUGCCUAUUAGUGGGGGAUAGCCCGGCGAAAGCCGGAUUAAUACCGCAUACGACCUAAGGGUGAAAGCGGGGGAUCGCAAGACCUCGCGCUAUUGGAGCGGCCGAUGUCAGAUUAGCUAGUUGGUGGGGUAAAAGCCCACCAAGGCGACGAUCUGUAGCUGGUCUGAGAGGACGACCAGCCACACUGGGACUGAGACACGGCCCAGACUCCUACGGGAGGCAGCAGUGGGGAAUUUUGGACAAUGGGGGCAACCCUGAUCCAGCCAUGCCGCGUGCGGGAAGAAGGCCUUCGGGUUGUAAACCGCUUUUGUCAGGGAAGAAACGGUCUGCGCUAAUACCGCGGACUAAUGACGGUACCUGAAGAAUAAGCACCGGCUAACUACGUGCCAGCCGCCGCCGUAAUAC
rnacentral:rRNA from 1 species